CCUCUGCCUUGUGGGAUCCAAAAACAAAGUUCUGUGAGUUUGCUUCAUUUUUCCUGCUCUGGUCUCUGUAGUUACUGUCGCCAACCCCUUGCCUCCUGGACAGAUCUCCCGUCUCCUGAGAGGUCCCCACCAGAACGUCUUUAUAUGACAACUGCCCUACUGAUUGACUUGGACCUGAGGCAGGUUCUGUUCUGUUCUGAUCUUUUCUCUUAGAUGUCUUCUCAGGCACCUCCUGUGUUACUGAGGGAGCUGGACUAGUAGAUUGUUUUUGACUAGUGUUUGGCUCAUCUGUUGGGUCAGAACCCCUCUGAUCACCAAGGGAUACUUGGGAUUGGUCAACACACUUCUUUGAGUUUGCUUCAUUUGUUAUAUUCUCGUCGGUCUGGUUACUAGAGGUCUUCAGUUCAUUCAGAACUCUAACCUCUGUGUUGCCUUCACCAUCAAGGCUUUUUGAUGGCUCCGUUGACCCGUGUGACGUCCCCUUCAGGUCUUCCUCAUCCAAGAGUUUACUGGCUGGUUGAGUUGGGUCUGAGGCACGUCCUCCUGUGUUCUGAUCAGCUGUCUCGGGUGUGGAUGAGGCCUGUGUGACUGAUGUAGGACUAGGUUGGUUUGGCUCAUUCACUGGUGCGUCUACGUUUGCCUUCGAUGGACCCUUGGCCUGGUCUUCUGGCAGUGUCUGGUGUGGGGAUGGGUUUGGAGAGGCUAUAGGUAUGGUUGGAGGGCCAGUAGGUGUGGCGGUGAUGACAGGAGGGCCAGUAGGUGUGGCAAUGUUGACAGGAGGGCCAGUAGGUGUGGUGGUGUUGACAGGAGGGCCAGUAGGUGUGGCGGUGUUGACAGGAGGGCCAGUAGGUGUGGCAGUGUUGACAGGAGGGCCAGCAGGUGUGGCGGUGUUGACAGGAGGGCCAGUAGGUGUGGCAGUGUUGACAGGAGGGCCAGUACGUGUGGCAGUGUUAACAGGAGGGCCAGUAGGUGUAGUGGUGUUGACAGGAGGGUCAUCCACCACUGAAGUAGAGCUCUCACUGACAGACAACUCAUCUUUCUCUUGACGUGUGUCAGUGCUCAGCUCAAUAGCGCUGGAAGAGCCUCCACUCUAUGAACAAUGUAUACAAAAAUGAGGCCUUUUAACACAUAAAUCAUUAAGGAUCAGCAUUUCUGAUUCAUAAGCCCUGCCCAUUAAAGCGUUCCCAUUCCAUGCUAAUUUCACUGGGUUCCCUUGACUUAAAACCCACGUCUGGUCACAUCCUAACGUCACAAAUUGAAAGUGUGACUGGUUCUGUUUAAACAAAUAUAUAAUUGUAAAUCUCUUAUC
ensembl:lncRNA